ensembl:lncRNA
AUUCACAGAGUCAGGCCCCGUUUACACGAAGGGAAAACACAGAUAUUUCAACUCGUUAAGUAAACGCAGGUUUAAGCCAUUCCCUCCGCUGAGAAUAUCAUUAAUAUACUCUAUGAAUGAUUAAGCCAAAGGGUUUUGUCGGUUUCUAAAAACUCUUGCCUUCCUAAGAGACCUGUGGCAUUAACAACUGUGAUGCAGUUGUAUCAAGUAUCAGUACCACACUGCCACCACCAUCAUCAUGUUGGAUAGCCUGUCAUGUCUCGGGUUCUUUCCAAUUCUCGUAAUUGGGAAGAAUUGCAAGGGAAGAAUUGUUGCCGAAGUUAAGUACAGCCUGGACUUUAAGCUGCCCGAGGACUUGGAGGACAAGUUAAAAAAAGUUUUUGAAAAUAUUUUGAGAGUUUAUUGUGGAAGAGCCAACAGAGAGGCCCCCUCCACCUCCUCCGGGCAGGAAGAGGAGGCGCCCCCGGCCCCCUCCACCUCCUCCGGGCAGGAAGAGGAGACGCCCCAGGCCCCCUCCACCUCCUCCGGGCAGGAAGAGGAGACGCCCCAGGCCCCCUCCAACUCCUCCGGGCAGGAAGAGAAGGUGCCCCAGGCCCCCUCCACCUCCGGGCAGGAAGAGAAGGUGCCCCAGGCCCCCUCACCUCCUCCGGGCAGGAAGAGAAGGUGCCCCAGGCCCCCCAGGCAGGACAUGGAGACUAUGAGCUGUGAGGAGUGUGAUGAUAAGGGGAAGCGAGGAAUCUUCCCCUACUCACGCAUUAUGAAAAAGAGAGGAAGGAAAGUCCUUAUGGAAUGGCAACCAUGUGGGACAUGUAAAAGAACAUGGGAGCCGACGUGGGAGCCAAAGUCAGCCAUUGCAGUUAAAAAAAGAAAUGGAGUCUGAGGAAGAGACGGGGUGCAAGAGAACAGGGACACAGUGAAAGAGAACAGGGAGACGAGGUGCAAGGGGCCAGGGGGACAGGGAGAAAGAGGACAGGGGAACAGGGAGAAAGAGGACAGGGGGACAGGGUGCAAGGGGACAGGGUGCCUUGUUAUGUAAAGGUAAUCUUUGUAAAUACAAUUGUUUCAAAAAUAUUUGGUGUAUCAUGUUUAAAGUGAAAUACUUUCAUUGCAUCACAAUAUGCCAGAUGGGAUACCGAAAGCAAUCCUAAAGGAAUCCCAUUUUGCUGCAGUUCAAUGUUGCCGCUGUAUACAGCAUUAUGUAAAAAGGUCAAUGUAUUUCUCAAACCUCGCUAAGAUCUGGCUACUUGCUUUCAGGUCAUCUGGUAAACUCAUCACUUAUUGUAAUGUAAUAUACCAUGGAAUGAUAUUUUUGUACCUAUACACAGGAUUGAUUUAACCAUUGUGCCAUAAUCCAAGAUGAGCUUUCACAGAGGCAUAAUUCAGAAAUUAGAAUGAUAAUGAAUCCCUGAAAAUGAAUAACAUCUGUCAUAAAUAAACAGCGGGGGGAGGGGGAAACACGUUUGUUUAUAAGGGGGGGGGGGGGGAU